ensembl:lncRNA
CUCUGAGGAUGCUGGCUGGAGGGCUGAACUGGGAGGGACUAAUGAUGAGUCAGUCUGGGGCAGGAUGACUGGGUCUGAGCAUGAUGACUUUGCAGGAGCAGCUCCAGGGGAGGUGUCUGGGUGCAGGCAGCUGUCUGAAGCCAGCAGGAAGCAGCAGUUAGGAAAAAGAGUGAUGGGGUGGCCAGAUUUGGAGUUGGAAGUGAAGAAGUUCAGGUCGAAAGAGAGCGGGCUGAAGGAAGAGACCAGGACAGAGCUCCAGAAAAAUGCAAGACUCUAUUCUAGGUUGGAGGAGUCUAAGAUGAAGAAGGAGAAAGAGAAGGUGCUUCUCUUUUCUUCUGGGUGAAGUGGAUUGGGGUGAUCUGCUGGAGGAGAGACCUGCAGUGUAGGUAGAGGCACAGGUCAGGAGAGAACCAACUCCAGAGACCAGGGAAGGCUGAGCAGUCAAAGAUGACGUCUGAGAAGUUACCGGAUGUGAGCUGAUCAGAAGCUCCCCCACGCAUGUCUGUCUCAAGAGCACCAGUGAGAGGCAGGAGUUUGCCUCUCGUUGCCCCAUCUGGUGGCGAGCCUGGAGGGCUGCAGGCUGUUGGAGCCCUGAGCCAGGUCAACCCCAACCUGGGUCUUCUCCCAGGACCAGGAGCAAGCAGAGGAAGCCAAUAUACCUGGAGGACAGCAAUGACAAAGUUCACUGGGCUGGAGUGAGAGACGACCGGACUUAACGUCUUAUCAAUUUGGUCAGCUUAGGAAAUUCUUUGUCUUUUUGUACUUCAUUUUCUUCUUGGAAAAAAAGUGGGUUACUGUGAGAUUUUGUGAAGUUGUGUCAAGGUAAAAGCACCCAGAAGAGCAGGCAGUGGAUCCUGUGGUCUCAGUAAAGGAGUCACCCCUCUUCCUUGUUUCCCUCCCCACCUCCACCCUGUAUUUCCCCCCUAACACGACUGUGUAUCUGGCCAGAAGUUACUUCUGCUAUAGGCACUAUAGCUGGGAACAAGAGUAAGAACCUGUGUGGGAAUAGUAGGAUCAAGGCAUGGAGCCCUCAGUGGAUCUGGGACACCACCAAGGUCCUGCCUUUCUGCAAUGUGAAGCCUUCCUGGAACUUUCUGUUUCACAAGAGGGGGGACAUUCUCCAUCACCUUAGACAUCCAGGCAUAGGAAAUUAUAUGUUUCUAAUUUGGGAGUUGAUGGUGGGAUUUGAACCUGGGGCUGUGUGCUUGUUAGGUUGUUCUAUAUUAUUAUUAUUAUUAUUAUUAUUAUUAUUAUUAUUAUUACCAUUAUUUAGGGACAGGGUCACUUUAUGUAGCUGUAGCUGGUAUUAAGCUCAUACAGAUCCUCUCUUCCUCUUGAAUGCUGGCAUUAAGUGUGUGUGCCACCAUACCUGGCUGUAUCACUAAUUUAUAAGGUCCUGUCCAGGUCUGGGCUAUUACUAAUUUUAUGAGCUAAAGCAACAUUUACAAGAACAAAAGUCAAAAGCACAAGUGACUGAAUAUCUUGAGGAAGACAAGCAUUACACACAUAUAGACCUUAUCAUGUGGGUUAAAGGUGAGAGGGAGGGCAAAUGAUUCCUACAUAUUGGAAACAACAAAAUAUUAAUAUUUUCCUCUCAUGGAUUUUUCUUAAACAAAACAAUAGAAUGGUCUCUUGACAGAAAACUUUGGGAUCUAGGCAUGUGUCUGCCUGCAGAAGGUGGCUUUGGCAGGAAUCUUGCUCUUCCUGUAGCUGUUGCCUCUGUUCCUUCUAGAGACUAUUUUGGAAAUAUAUGACUCAGCUGGUGAACAUUCCCAACCUGGUAUGUGGAAAAUACCUCCCAGGCGAGGAGACUCACACAAACCCCGAGUCUUCUCCAGGGGCUGCAGUGUUAAAAUCUGUGACUUUGCCAUGGUUUUGGUGGACUGGAUUUUUGUUGUUUCUGUUUUGAGACAGGGUUUCUCUGUGUAACAGCUCUGGCUGUCCUGGAACUUACUCUGUAGACCAGGCUGGGCUCGAACUCACAUAGAUCCCCCUGCCUCUGCCUCUCCAGUGCUGGGAUUAAAGGUGUGUGCCACCACUGCCCAUCUAUUCUAUUUGUCUUAACUGAGUUACCUGUCAUGGUCCAGCUUUCAUCUUAUCAAGUUGCAUUGUCACCAGACCACCUAGUGGCUCAAUUGAGAAACCAGAAAUGACACAUCCUGCCUACUUCCCUCUUCCUCCAUCGUUCACACCAAGGGUGGAUGCUGUGGCUGCACUGUUCUGCAGAACCAUUUUCCCACACAGUCUAUCCAAAG